UGACUGGCAGAGGGUGGGAUGUAGCACGUCGUGUGACUGGCAGAGGGUGGGAUGUAGCACGUCGUGUGGCUGACAGAGGGUAGGUAGGAUGUAGUAGGAUGUAGCAUACCGUGUGGCUAGCAGAGGGUAGGUAUGCGUAGGGCUAAACCAGGCUUCCUUCAUCCGGGGUAGGCUGUCAUACUAGCAGAGGGUAGGUAGGAUGUAGUAGGAUGUAGCAUACCGUGUGGCUAGCAGAGGGUAGGUAGGAUGUAGUAGGAUGUAGCAUACCGUGUGGCUAGCAGAGGGUAGGUAGGAUGUAGUAGGAUGUAGCAUACUGUGUGGCUAGCAGAGGGUAGGUAGGAUGUAGUAGGAUGUAGCAUACCGUGUGGCUA